GUUUGUCCGUGAGAGAGGCGGGGAGAGACUCUGGCGAAGGUGAGGAGUGGAUCCUCGCUGUGGAGACCUGGACUGCGCGAGAGACGCUGUUAGUUCUGUGCACCCUGCUCUGCAAUUGGCCACCAUGGAGAUGAGCUAAUCUGGAGAGGCGAGGAAUAAGGGCGAAUUUUGUACCACGUGGAGGGCGCUGUCCUCAGAGGGCACCGCCUCCAUCUGCAUCAAAUCACCGCAAGCACCUCCAUAUUCCGUCACUAAGGCCAGAACGGCGGGGAAUGAGGCCUCCGAAUUUGGGUGAUGAACAGGCGUCGCCACCCCACGCCAGCAGGGGGCGGCAUAAGGGUAGCCGGUUCGUGAAGACCCGGUCCACGCCGCCUGAGACCCCCCUCCCACCUUCUCGGAGCUCCGGACCCCAGCAAGCCUCCCGAGGAAGAUGCUGAAGGAAAGCGCUGGUGCGUUCACGGAGGAUCGCAGCUUCCCAGGUCCGCGCUGCCAGGGUCACCUUGUAGGGGAAGUGUGGCCACUGAAUGGAGAACUUGGCAACUUGUGAGGAGACGGAGCAUUGUAGGAGAGGAGCGCAGGGAGGGGGAUGGAUGCCUACGGGAUGGAGGAGAGCACCGGCCUCGCUGAAACGGGGGCUUCCAUGCAAAAGAAUCGACGAGA